UAGGGCGUAGCAUAAAUUAAUGUAUUUCACUUACACUGAAAUGAUACUUUCGACGCGGAGUCGCCUUAA
rnacentral:tRNA from 1 species